rnacentral:rRNA from 1 species
UACAGAGGUCUCGAGCGUUGUUCGGAUUCAUUGGGCGUAAAGGGCGCGUAGGCGGCGGGGUAAGUCUGGUGUGAAAUCUCGGAGCUCAACUCCGAAAUUGCACUGGAUACUGCUCUGCUAGAGGGCUGGAGAGGAGAUCGGAAUUCACGGUGUAGCAGUGAAAUGCGUAGAUAUCGUGAGGAAGACCAGUGGCGAAGGCGGAUCUCUGGACAGUUCCUGACGCUGGAGGCACGAAGGCCAGGGGAGCAAACGGG